UAGGGAAUCUUCCGCAAUGGGCGAAAGCCUGACGGAGCAACGCCGCGUGAGUGAUGAAGGUCUUCGGAUCGUAAAACUCUGUUAUUAGGGAAGCACUAAUGUGUAAGUAACUAUGCACGUCUUGACGGUACCUAAUCAGAAUGCCUCGGCUAACUACGUGCCAGCAGCCGUGGUAAUACGUAGGUGGCAAGCGUUAUCCGGAAUUAUUGGGCGUAAAGCGCGCGUAGGCGGUUUUUUAAGUCUGAUGUGAAAGCCCACAGCUCAACCGUGGAGGGUCAUUAGAAACUGGAAAACUUGAUUGCAGAAGAUGAAAUUGGAAUUCCAUAUGUAGCAGUGAAAUGCGCAGAGAUAUGGAGGAACACCAGUGGCGAAGGCGACUUUCUGAUCUGUAACUGACGCUGAUGUGCGAAAGCGUGGGGAUCAAACAGG
rnacentral:rRNA from 1 species